ACAGUUGGUGAAGAAGAAUGUGUCACCUCCAGGACCCCUGAAACUACAGAUGAUGGAUCGAUGCACAUGGGGAUCUGCUGGACCUAUCUAUUCUUCAUGAAAGCCAAGUUUUCUCUGAGAAUAAAAAGGGAGGGAGGAAGGAGGAAAAAAAAAAAAAAAAAAAAAAAAAGAGGAAAAGAGAAAACUCAUUACUUAAGCUGAGCUGAAGGAAAAUACACUGCAGUAUGCACCCAGCCCAAGGAGAGUGAAAUGGCACAAUGCUGGUGUAAUUGUAAAUGGCUGUAGAAAAUAUAAUCUUUUGUGAAGAAUUCCAAGGGCAUGGUCUCCAUUUAUCAAGUAACAAGCUUACCUGCAAUGCAGAUAAGUAAAACAUGAAAAGAUUGCUUACUAGUAAAGCCUUCCUCCACCUUUCCCCUCCCUCCCAUAGCCAGCACGUUCCCAUUGAACAUGUUCGCAUACUUAGCCAACUUGUCUCUAUUGUCUGUCUGGUAAUUCACCUGUGGAAAAGGAGGUAUCAGAUGCUGUUCAACAGAAACUUGAAACUGAGCCUGCGUGUAAGGUGGGUAUUGUAUCUCCUUGCUGCUCACAGACACAAAACCCAUACCUUCCUUUUUCCCUUGGUCACUCUUUGAUUGCUGAGAAUUUGUAGUAUUAACUGUUCAUGCUCAAUACUUGCUUAAUCCUUUAAAUAGGCAAGAUUUUGCCUGCCUCUGCCUU